AUUCGUUUAGUAUAAAAAGUAUAAUAAGCUUCCAACUUAUAGGUUAAUUAACACUUUAAAUGAAUA
rnacentral:tRNA from 1 species